CUAGCUGCUAACUAUUCCUGCACAUCUGUCAGUCUACUCAUGAUCCCACUACACAUCCUGUGCAUCUACAAUAAGCUUGAAGUAUGGUCUUUGCUAAGUUUAUUCUGCAAUCUCUUGAUUCUAGGAUAUUGCAUUCAAGAUUGUCAACCAUGAACGGGAAUAUAAGCAAGGCUCCUACUGUCAGUUCCAAAACAACAUAUAGAAACUGUGGUUUCACUUCAGAUGUUAUCGCUAUCAAUAAGAUUUCCCUUAUCUCUUCAUUCAGAUUUUUUGGAACAAUGCAUAUUUUUUAACAAUGAAUCUGUUUUCUUUGGA